rnacentral:rRNA from 1 species
AGGUAAGCUACUAAGAGCGAAUGGUGGAUGCCUUGACUGGUAAAGGCGAUGAAGGACGUACUAGACUGCGAUAAGCUACGGGGAGCUGUCAAGAAGCUUUGAUCCGUAGAUUUCCGAAUGGGGCAACCCAAUGUAUAGAGAUAUACAUUACCUAUAUAGGAGCGAACGAGGGGAAUUGAAACAUCUUAGUACCCUCAGGAAAAGAAAUCAAUAGAGAUUGCGUCAGUAGCGGCGAGCGAAAGCGCAAGAGGGCAAACCCAGUGCUUGCACUGGGGGUUGUAGGACUGCAAUGUGCAAGAGGUAAGUUUAGCAGAACAUUCUGGAAAGUAUAACCAUAGAGGGUGAUAGUCCCGUAUGCGAAAAACAAACCUUAGCUAGCAGUAUCCUGAGUAGGGCGGGACACGAGGAAUCCUGUCUGAAUCCGGGUCGACCACGAUCCAACCCUAAAUACUAAUACCAGAUCGAUAGUGCACAAGUACCGUGAGGGAAAGGUGAAAAGAACUGAGGUGAUCAGAGUGAAAUAGAACCUGAAACCAUUUGCUUACAAUCAUUCAGAGCCCUAUGUAGCAAUACAGGGUGAUGGACUGCCUUUUGCAUAAUGAGCCUGCGAGUUGUGGUGUCUGGCAAGGUUAAGCAAACGCGAAGCCGUAGCGAAAGCGAGUCUGAAUAGGGCGCUUAGUCAGAUGCUGCAGACCCGAAACGAAGUGAUCUAUCCAUGAGCAAGUUGAAGCUAGUGUAAGAACUAGUGGAGGACUGAACCCAUAGGCGUUGAAAAGCCCCGGGAUGACUUGUGGAUAGGGGUGAAAGGCCAAUCAAACUUCGUGAUAGCUGGUUCUCUCCGAAAUAUAUUUAGGUAUAGCGUUGUGUCGUAAUAUAAGGGGGUAGAGCACUGAAUGGGCUAGGGCAUACACCAAUGUACCAAACCCUAUCAAACUCCGAAUACCUUAUAUGUAAUCACAGCAGUCAGGCGGCGAGUGAUAAAAUCCGUCGUCAAGAGGGAAACAACCCAGACUACCAGCUAAGGUCCCUAAGUCUUACUUAAGUGGAAAACGAUGUGAAGUUACUUAAACAACCAGGAGGUUGGCUUAGAAGCAGCCAUCCUUUAAAGAAAGCGUAAUAGCUCACUGGUCUAGUGAUUUUGCGCGGAAAAUAUAACGGGGCUAAAGUAAGUACCGAAGCUGUAGACUUAGUUUACUAAGUGGUAGGAGAGCGUUCUAUUUGCGUCGAAGGUAUACCGGUAAGGAGUGCUGGAGCGAAUAGAAGUGAGCAUGCAGGCAUGAGUAGCGAUAAUUAAUGUGAGAAUCAUUAACGCCGUAAACCCAAGGUUUCCUACGCGAUGCUCGUCAUCGUAGGGUUAGUCGGGUCCUAAGUCGAGUCCGAAAGGGGUAGACGAUGGCAAAUUGGUUAAUAUUCCAAUACCAACAUUAGUGUGCGAUGGAAGGACGCUUAGGGCUAAGGGGGCUAGCGGAUGGAAGUGCUAGUCUAAGGUCGUAGGAGGUUAUACAGGCAAAUCCGUAUAACAAUACUCCGAGAACUGAAAGGCUUUUUGAAGUCUUCGGAUGGAUAGAAGAACCCCUGAUGCCGUCGAGCCAAGAAAAGUUUCUAAGUUUAGCUAAUGUUGCCCGUACCGUAAACCGACACAGGUGGGUGGGAUGAGUAUUCUAAGGCGCGUGGAAGAACUCUCUUUAAGGAACUCUGCAAAAUAGCACCGUAUCUUCGGUAUAAGGUGUGGUUAGCUUUGUAUUAGGAUUUACUCCGAAAGCAAGGAAACUUACAACAAAGAGUCCCUCCCGACUGUUUACCAAAAACACAGCACUCUGCUAACUCGUAAGAGGAUGUAUAGGGUGUGACGCCUGCCCGGUGCUCGAAGGUUAAUUGAUGGGGUUAGCAUUAGCGAAGCUCUUGAUCGAAGCCCGAGUAAACGGCGGCCGUAACUAUAACGGUCCUAAGGUAGCGAAAUUCCUUGUCGGUUAAAUACCGACCUGCAUGAAUGGCGUAACGAGAUGGGAGCUGUCUCAAAGAGGGAUCCAGUGAAAUUGUAGUGGAGGUGAAAAUUCCUCCUACCCGCGGCAAGACGGAAAGACCCCGUGGACCUUUACUACAGCUUGACACUGCUACUUGGAUAAGAAUGUGCAGGAUAGGUGGGAGGCUUUGAGUAUAUGACGCCAGUUGUAUAUGAGCCAUUGUUGAGAUACCACUCUUUCUUA